UACAGAGGGUGCAAGCGUUGUUCGGAAUUAUUGGGCGUAAAGCGCGUGUAGGCGGCUUGGCAAGUCAGAUGUGAAAGCCCUCGGCUUAACCGAAGAAGUGCGUCUGAAACUGCUGAGCUUGAGUCUCGGAGAGGAUGGCGGAAUUCCGCAAGUAGAGGUGAAAUUCGUAGAUAUGCGGAGGAACACCGGUGGCGAAGGCGGCCAUCUGGACGAGUACUGACGCUGAGACGCGAAAGCGUGGGGAGCAAACAGG
rnacentral:rRNA from 1 species